rnacentral:misc_RNA from 1 species
CUCUUCGUUUUCAGGAAGAAGACUUGAAAAACGCUGAUGAUUGUGUUUAGGAACUUUAAAACAGGUGUAGGUCAAUGCUCCAGAGCUUUUAAAACCUUCCGAAACAUUACUAUGCUUGAAAGCUAUUUUCAUACCACCAGCAAUAACAAGGCAGAGUUCCGCGAUCUGCUCCAAAAGGCAAAGAACGUUGUUGUUUUAACUGGAGCAGGCGCUAGUGCGGAGAGUGGAGUUCCUACAUUUCGAGGCUCCGGUGGUCUUUGGAGAACUUUUAGAGCUCAAGAUCUGGCGACUCUCGAAGCAUUUCGCAGAAAUCCGUCAUUAGUAUGGGAGUUUUACAGUUACAGGCGAGAAGUUGUUCUCACAAAACAACCAAACAAGGCGCAUUAUGCUAUUGCAGAAUUGCAGAAAAAGUUUCCAGAUCAAGGAAGAAAUGUCGCCGUAAUAACACAGAAUAUUGAUGGAUUACAUCAGGCUGCAGGGACGAAAGAAGUAAUAGAACUUCACGGGGCACUGUUUAAGACAAGAUGUACUGUAUGUGGACAUGUAACAGAAAACAGGAACAGUCCAAUUGUACAAGCUUUAGCUGGGAAAGGAGCCCCAGAUCCUGAUGCCCAGGAUGCAAAAAUUCCAGAAAAAGAUUUACCCAGGUGUGUCCAGCCCAACUGUGGACAACUGGCCCGUCCUCAUGUGGUGUGGUUUGGAGAAAAUCUGGACCAUAAUGUAUUGAAAGCUACAAAUGACGCUUUGGAAAAGUGUGAUAUGUGUCUUUUGGUUGGUACAUCAUCUGUGGUUUACCCAGCAGCAGGAUUUGCUCCAAUGUUGGCAGCCAGAGGAGUCCCAGUUGCAGAAUUUAACAUGGAAAAGACUUCAUGCACUGGAGAAUUCAGGUUCCAUUUUCAGGGUCCUGCUGGUGAAACUCUUCCUCCUUUACUUGCAGAGAAGGCAGACUAAGCAGAGGUUCCAAAGUCUUUUUGUGGAGGAAUGAUUGCAUGAUAAGCCCAAGAAUGUUUGCAUAUAAGGCUAACACAAACAGAGAAAGACUUUCAUUAGUCUUCAAGUUAUCAUAUAGGGACAGUGUUUCAUCCUUCAGCCAAUGGGGCAAUCUAUAAGGCCAUCUUCAAGCUGCCAAUGUUCAAUUGUGUCAAUUAAACCAAGCUCACUAAGACUGUGGAUCAAAUAAAGCAAAGAAAAUGCCUGAGGCCAGCAUAAUGAAUGGCAGUGUGAAGCCUUUAAUUAAAUUCAAAUCCUCUUCAGUUUUAUCUGUCUGAACAACCUUAUGGUUGCCAACAACACCACUAUAUCUCUGCUAUGGGGACUCAACUUGGGGACUACAAUAGGAUCACAGCUUGGCAAAGCUAUAUUGCACAGCUAUUACAUUUGUGAACCUGGUAAAGGUGACAUUAGUAAGAGAUCUAUCUACCAGAGAGGAAGACUGAGGUAUCAGAUGCCAAAGCUUUCCCAUUUUAGAACAUGCUCAUAAUGCAGAAAUUUGCCUUCUUUGGAUUGAAGUGAAGUCCAUUGAAUGCAAUCCACACAACAAAACACACAUGGUCCAAGACACUAUUCACCAAAGACUUUUCCCAAAAAAAAUUAUCAAAAACAGUGGUGUUGAAAAUUCAUAUGAAUGGUGGCCAUUCACAGAAAUAUUAGAACAAAUGAUAACAGAGAGAAAAGCUCCCUUAACAAGCUAAAAUCAAAAUACUCCAAUGAGAACUGUAGAGAGGGAAAACCUUUCUGAAACAGUUUGGAUUGAGAUGCCCCAAACACAGCUAUGGAAUUGAACUAGUUACACCACAGUUCUACUGCACAAGGACCUAACGAAAAAUCAAGUAACAACCAGUCUCCAGUUGAACAUAAAAAUUUACAUCACAAGAGAAACUACAAACUGCAAUAGUUCAUCAUAAGUGUACUUCAGUAAGGUGAUUAACCACAACCUCCUUUAGAAUUUUUUCUUAUUAUUAUUAUUAUUAUUAUUAUUAUUAUUAAAAUUAUUAUUAUUAUUAUUAUUCACACAUUUCAAAUAUUAGGCAAAAAUUACUAUGGUGACAUUUUAAGAGGGAUUCUCACAGCAGCUUUGGCUAGUAAACCGAGUAAUGAGAAAUUUCAUUUGCAACGAAUACUAGACAACAAGAGGUUUUUUUAAAGCCAAAUGAAAGAUUGAAUACUCAUCACAGCUUCUUUAUUCUUAUGUCAAUAGAAAGUCUAUGUAUUGAUGGAAAUGUUGUAAGUGGAGCAAAAGGGGAACCCAGUUUGCAUUUUAAAGCAAUUGUAAAACAAUCCCUGUCUUUAUUCAUUCAGAGUUGAAAAAUUAUUUUCACAGA